rnacentral:rRNA from 1 species
CAGUAGCCACGGUAAUACGGAGGGAGCUAGCGUUGUUCGGAAUUACUGGGCGUAAAGCGCACGUAGGCGGCUUUGUAAGUCAGAGGUGAAAGCCUGGAGCUCAACUCCAGAACUGCCUUUGAGACUGCAUCGCUUGAAUCCAGGAGAGGUGAGUGGAAUUCCGAGUGUAGAGGUGAAAUUCGUAGAUAUUCGGAAGAACACCAGUGGCGAAGGCGGCUCACUGGACUGGUAUUGACGCUGAGGUGCGAAAGCGUGGGGAGCAAACAGGAUUAGAUACCCGUGUAGUCCCUGUCUCUUAUAC